rnacentral:rRNA from 1 species
GACGAACGCUGGCGGCGUGCCUAAUACAUGCAAGUAGAACGCUGAAGGAGGAGCUUGCUCUUCUGGAUGAGUUGCGAACGGGUGAGUAACGCGUAGGUAACCUGCCUGGUAGCGGGGGAUAACUAUUGGAAACGAUAGCUAAUACCGCAUAAUAGUAGAUGUUGCAUGACAUUUGCUUAAAAGGUGCAAUUGCAUCACUACCAGAUGGACCUGCGUUGUAUUAGCUAGUUGGUGAGGUAACGGCUCACCAAGGCGACGAUACAUAGCCGACCUGAGAGGGUGAUCGGCCACACUGGGACUGAGACACGGCCCAGACUCCUACGGGAGGCAGCAGUAGGGAAUCUUCGGCAAUGGACGGAAGUCUGACCGAGCAACGCCGCGUGAGUGAAGAAGGUUUUCGGAUCGUAAAGCUCUGUUGUAAGAGAAGAACGAGUGUGAGAGGGAAAGUUCAC